AAGUAGCAGAUAUCGCAUCUGUCCUCUAUAUGCUUGUCUUCGCUUGUUCCACAUAGGUGACUUACAGCAUCUCGAUGGAGAUGGCCCAGCCGUCGAUGCCACAAUGACGGGUCCUUCACUUUUGCAAUCUUGGAUGCGAAUUGAGCCUCUUCGACGUGGUACAAUCUUCCUUCCCGAGUCGCAUUGAGGAUGAACUCGCCUGUGUUUUCGGCAACUUCGGCUCUGCCUUCAGCAAAAGUCACGUGCAGCCCUCGUUCCUCGAUCCGUCCUGUUAAAAAAAAAAAAAGAGGUUACAAUUCAACUCUGGCACGUAGAGAACAUGCAUCUUCCAGUGUGACGUAAGUGCCACCGCACUUUUCAGACAAUUGUAUCUGAACGCGUUCCUUCCCAAUAACUUUCAUGAACUCUGUGCUGGCUGUCUCUACUGUAGACUCGCAGUCAGCUUCGCCUUGUACGAUGCCAUGUGGUCUGUAGCACUGCUGUCAAGAUGCCACACGUUGUCGACCUUCUCGUCAGCACGGAACCGAUUACAAUCUCUAGCUAUGUGUCCAACCCUUCCGCAGGCGAAACACCGUACUUUCCUCUUCAGCGUGCCUUGGUGCCGUGGCAGGUUCCCUUGGUGAGCUUUUGUGUCGUUUUUCUUAGGAUAGUUUUUGGUCAUCAAAGCUCUGUUCUGACUCUCAUCUUCACUGGUCUUCAGCGCGACGUAGUUUUCGUUUUUCUUCAAUAAGUAGCCUUGUCUUCGUCUUGCUCUAAGUUGAGAAUAAGUAGCUCAUAUGUAUCAGGAAGUCGCAUGAGCAUGACCAAUGCAACCUCUCGGUUCGUGAAGGCGUAACCUGCAUUCGACAGCUUUCUGUUCAUUAGUCCUGUCCAUUAGUCUUCCUAGGUAGUCCUUCAUGAGCUCUUUCCUUUUCAUUUUAACGUUGAAGAAAUCUCUCAUCAACUGUAGUAUGGGGAGAAGUCCAAACUUCGAGUGCAUUUCGUGCAACGUAUCUCAUGCUUCCUUCGCUCUUGCACUUGCCCCGAUGUCAUCAAGGUAGUUAUCCUCGACGACGAGGAACAGAAAUUAGGUCGAUCGCCUCCCAGCAUCCCUUCUGUACAAGGGCGGCUCUUACCCGGAUCGACCAACAAUGGUAAUUGUCAAACGACAGCUUCG